GAAUGCUGACAUAAGUAACGAUAAAGCGGGUGAAAAGCCCGCUCGCCGGAAGACCAAGGGUUCCUGUCCAACGUUAAUCGGGGCAGGGUGAGUCGACCCCUAAGGCGAGGCCGAAAGGCGUAGUCGAUGGGAAACAGGUUAAUAUUCCUGUACUUGGUGUUACUGCGAAGGGGGGACGGAGAAGGCUAUGUUGGCCGGGCGACGGUUGUCCCGGUUUAAGCGUGUAGGCUGGUUUUCCAGGCAAAUCCGGAAAAUCAAGGCUGAGGCGUGAUGACGAGGCACUACGGUGCUGAAGCGACAAAUGCCCUGCUUCCAGGAAAAGCCUCUAAGCAUCAGGUAACAUCAAAUCGUACCCCAAACCGACACAGGUGGUCAGGUAGAGAAUACCAAGGCGCUUGAGAGAACUCGGGUGAAGGAACUAGGCAAAAUGGUGCCGUAACUUCGGGAGAAGGCACGCUGAUAUGUAGGUGAAGCGACUUGCUCGUGGAGCUGAAAUCAGUCGAAGAUACCAGCUGGCUGCAACUGUUUAUUAAAAACACAGCACUGUGCAAACACGAAAGUGGACGUAUACGGUGUGACGCCUGCCCGGUGCCGGAAGGUUAAUUGAUGGGGUUAGCGGUAACGCGAAGCUCUUGAUCGAAGCCCCGGUAAACGGCGGCCGUAACUAUAACGGUCCUAAGGUAGCGAAAUUCCUUGUCGGGUAAGUUCCGACCUGCACGAAUGGCGUAAUGAUGGCCAGGCUGUCUCCACCCGAGACUCAGUGAAAUUGAACUCGCUGUGAAGAUGCAGUGUACCCGCGGCAAGACGGAAAGACCCCGUGAACCUUUACUAUAGCUUGACACUGAACAUUGAGCCUUGAUGUGUAGGAUAGGUGGGAGGCUUUGAAGUGUGGACGCCAGUCUGCAUGGAGCCGACCUUGAAAUACCACCCUUUAAUGUUUGAUGUUCUAACGUGGGCCCCUUACCGGGGUUGCGGACAGUGUCUGGUGGGUAGUUUGACUGGGGCGGUCUCCUCCUAAAGAGUAACGGAGGAGCACGAAGGUUGGCUAAUCCUGGUCGGACAUCAGGAGGUUAGUGCAAUGGCAUAAGCCAGCUUGACUGCGAGCGUGACGGCGCGAGCAGGUGCGAAAGCAGGUCAUAGUGAUCCGGUGGUUCUGAAUGGAAGGGCCAUCGCUCAACGGAUAAAAGGUACUCCGGGGAUAACAGGCUGAUACCGCCCAAGAGUUCAUAUCGACGGCGGUGUUUGGCACCUCGAUGUCGGCUCAUCACAUCCUGGGGCUGAAGUAGGUCCCAAGGGUAUGGCUGUUCGCCAUUUAAAGUGGUACGCGAGCUGGGUUUAGAACGUCGUGAGACAGUUCGGUCCCUAUCUGCCGUGGGCGCUGGAGAACUGAGGGGGGCUGCUCCUAGUACGAGAGGACCGGAGUGGACGCAUCACUGGUGUUCGGGUUGUCAUGCCAAUGGCACUGCCCGGUAGCUAAAUGCGGAAGAGAUAAGUGCUGAAAGCAUCUAAGCACGAAACUUGCCCCGAGAUGAGUUCUCCCUGACUCCUUGAGAGUCCUGAAGGAACGUUGAAGACGACGACGUUGAUAGGCCGGGUGUGUAAGCGCAGCGAUGCGUUGA
rnacentral:rRNA from 1 species